CAGGUGUGUCAGAGUUCCUAAGGAGCUCAAGGAUCCCGGGCAGUGCUCACAUCCAGAAUUUUCUCAAAUGAAAACUGAUUAUGUGCAGUGUGGAAGUACCAUCCCUAAUAUACCAGAGUUCAGAGAGAUUUCAUGGACCUCUAAGCAGUACACAUACUAGAGGGGCAGAACUUAAUAACCUAAAAAUAAGUAGGAGUGCUUGACGUGAUUCGAAAGGGUUUUGGUAAAUAGUAUAAAGAAGGGCCUUGCGAGUGAAAAGAUUUU
rnacentral:lncRNA from 1 species